CAUAACCCCAAGACGGGAACUGCUCGCCUUUUCGCUGUUUCCCUAUUAAAUCACCGUGUAAUAGAGGGCAAAACGAAGUUAAUCAGAAACGCGACGGCUCCCCGGUCACCAAGGCCAUGUGCUGCAAAUGGAAGAUGGAUAGAUGGAUCAUUUCAAAAACCAGCAGCCAGAGCCAGACAUGGGAGCUUAUGGCACCAGAUGCCAAACAGAUUUUAAAGAACAGUUAGACAGUGCGAGUCUUGGGACCGUCCGAGGUCCACCUGGAAUUGUACUCCGUUCAUGGCCCUCCUGAAUUCCUCUUUUUCUUACACACGUGUUGUCCUGAAGUCACUAGUUUGCUGCAGCAUGUGCGUAGCAGGGCUCUGUUUACACUUUAACUCUGUACAUAUUUAUCAUCUUGGUAAUUGCAGUUCUGUCCUGCGGAGAAUUACUCAUGGAAAAAAAGCAGUAGUCCCUAAAAUGGGCAACUUACAUGCACAUAAACAGCAGGAUUAUGACAAGCUUUCUAAACUGGAUUUCUAUAAAAUGACAUGCUGCCGGUCCUGCUUUACUUAUUAGCUAAUUAAGCUUCUUGUUCUGGAAAAAAAAAAAGCUUAUUUUAAUUGUGUUGUUUGCCCUUUAGUGUAAAUGCAUUGAUUGGAUUUUGGAAUGUUUGACCUCUGAAAACAUUUGUGGUUGUCUGCAGAAAUAAGACAGAUAGUAUCAAACCGCAUCAUUAGGUUAUGUUUUUGAAGGCCAUCAGAAAUACCGUGCCUGAGGAAAUGUCUGUGCUAUCAGCAUGCAGCUCGAAAAUAAUAAAGAAUAAUAAUUUAACCUUGAGAUUUUGAAUUUACUUUAUACAUUUUGGAUUGUUAUAGUUAGCUUUGAAUUUGAUGCGUAUUGAAGAACUAUAGCUAACGCAAUUUGCUUAAUAGAUUUUGAACUACUACAGCUAGCACUGAAUUUAUUUAGUACAUUUUGGACUGCUAUAGGUAGUGUUUCAUUUAAUACAUUUUAGAAUACUAUGGCUAGUUUGGCUUGGCAACAAAAAAAGAACACAAACUAAGAACACCUUCCAGUGCCACUGAAUCAAUCUGUCCAUAUAUUGUCCUCUGAUUACUUGGUACAAUUUUUUCUGUUUUUGUUUUUUGCCAUAGUGAAACAGUACUACUAUAAUUUUUAUUCAUGUGCUUCAAUAACCAAUGAAAUGUUGGGCGUUCUGCUGUUUUGUUAUGAUCUGGAACAGCUUGUUUUUCUUUUUUGUUCUCUGUGCUCUUGCAACCUGUUGUUUUUUUUAUUAUUUUGUAUCUGUUGUACUCAACUCUGACACAUAAAACGACACCUGUAUCAAAAUAGACACGUUUAUGUUGAUGGGUAUUUAAGGUUUAUGUGAAGCUUGUACUUGGAAAUUAAA